UACGGGGGGAGCAAGCGUUGUUCGGAUUUACUGGGCGUAAAGGGCGCGUAGGCGGUCGUGACAAGUCACUUGUGAAAUCUCCGGGCUUAACUCGGAACGGUCAAGUGAUACUGUCGGACUAGAGUACAGAAGGGGCAACUGGAAUUCUCGGUGUAGCGGUGAAAUGCGCAGAUAUCGGGAGGAACACCAAUUGCGAAGGCAGCUCGCUGGGACGUCACUGACGCUGAGACGCGAAAGCGUGGGGAGCAAACAGG
rnacentral:rRNA from 1 species